rnacentral:rRNA from 1 species
GACGAACGUUGGCGGCGUGCUUAAUACAUGCGAGUCAACUGAAGCAGUGGUAGCAAUAUCGCUGUGGAGGUGGCGCACGGGUGAGUAACACGUAGGUAAUCUGCCUUCAGGUCUGGCAUAACUCCGGGAAACCGGGGCUAAUAGCAGAUGAUGCAGCGGCUCGACAUCGAGACAGUUGUUAAAGCUAUGGCGCCUGAAGAUGAGCCUGCGUCUGAUUAGCUAGUUGGCGGGUAACGGCCCACCAAGGCAACGAUCAGUAGCUGGUCUGAGAGGAUGAUCAGCCACACUGGAACUGAGACACGGUCCAGACUCCUACGGGAGGCAGCAGUAAGGAAUAUUGCGCAAUGGGAGAAAUCCUGAAGCAGCAACGCCGCGUGAGGGACGAAGGGCUUUUGCUUGUAAACCUCUGUAGUGAGAGAAAAAAAUCCCAAUCUUUGGGACAUGAUGGUAUCUCAAAAGUAAGCCCCGGCUAACUACGUG